rnacentral:lncRNA from 1 species
GCUUAGGUUUUCCAAUCUAAUAGCUAACGUGAGAUUGAUCUACGGUGCGGAAUUCAAUUUCGUACGUGUAGAUUGAUUUUACGUUAAAGUCGUUUAGUUUUCAGUUUAGCGAGUCGUUAAAUCUUGAUUUAACGGGUCGUCUAAUUCCCGUCGUUGUUUCGCUAACAGUGCACGGUUUCGCGUUUCGGAUCUAAUUCGUCGUGCGAAUCUAUAUUCACGCAUGUUUUAGUUCUGUUUUGCG